UUAUUGCUGAAAUCAUGUUAUGCCACUUCGACCCAUAUUAAAACAGCCCCAGAGUUCAAAUCUUUUGUGCAUCAAAAGCUACCACAGUCUAAACAUUUUUUCAUGAAAAUGCAAAAUAAAUUGACUCACCUCAGGAUUCAAGAACAAAUCCAAGUGUUUGUGAAGGAGGACUUGAUUUUGCUGAUUGCCAAGACAAAAAUUCUGGAGGAACUGGUGAGCAAGGCGCAUCAAUUCGUUCAUGCGGAUGUCCUCUUUUUGAUCGUAUGGAACUUGAACCUGAUCCGGAUGGAGCGGCGGUCCAACAUCCAUGUCCACCGCUGAAUUUUGUUUGCUUAGAGAGGGUUCCUUCACGACAGGCUUUGUAUCCCUGACUGCCUCUUCAUCGUCAUCCCUCUUGCUCCGCUUUUUAGCGUGAUCAUCCACGGUUCGCGACUUAUAAACCCACAACUCAGAUUUCUCAACCGACUGUCUCAAAACAUCUAAAUCAGCUUUGAUUUGUUUGUAGGAUUCCACAUCGCUAUCCGAGACCAGUAGUUGUACCUUCAAAACAAAACGAAGAGUUUAAUUUGGACGUAUUUCUACCAAACGGACCUAAGCGCCAAUUUGAGUUCCUUUUGAUGAAUUUAGAAUGCCGGAUAGCGCGUUCUGUCAAACGGACCUAAGCGCCAUGAAAAAGCAUUGCGAGUAUAGGACGGAUUGAGCACCGCACCCGUUUCCGCAGCCAAUCCAAGCCCCCUCUACCUUCCUCCCCCGAUGGCGCUUAGUUCCGUUUGAUAGAAAUACGUCCAUUUGUUCUUUGUUUAUUAGUAACUGAACAAAGCAAACAGAUCAGCAAAAAAAAUAAAAAAGCUCACAGCAAUUUUUGCAGAAAGAACCGUUGCAUUUGCAAAGCCUCUACUUACAAUUAUGCUGGGAGAGAGAUUAUCGAUUUUGUAAAAUUUAGUAAAAGCACAAGCUUUGCGAUAUAAAGGUAAAGAACAGGCUGAGGGCUUUGGGUUUAGAAAAAUCUGCUGUAAUCAGUUUAAAGCAAAUUAUGCCUUAGGCAACAAGCGUACAUCAAUAUGUAAAUAUC
rnacentral:lncRNA from 1 species